rnacentral:rRNA from 1 species
AAUGAACGCUGGCGGCAGGCCUAACACAUGCAAGUCGAACGGAUCCUUCGGGAUUAGUGGCGGACAGGUGAGUAACGCGUGGGAACAUACCCUUUGGUACGGAAUAGCCUCGGGAAACUGGGAGUAAUACCGUAUGUGGUCGAGAGACGAAAGAUUUAUCGCCUAAGGAUUGGCCCGCGUUGGAUCAGGUAGUUGGUGGGGUAAUGGCCUACCAAGCCGACGAUCCAUAGCUGGUUUGAGAGGAUGAUCAGCCACACUGGGACUGAGACACGGCCCAGACGCCUACGGGAGGCAGCAGUGGGGAAUCUUAGACAAUGGGGGAAACCCUGAUCUAGCCAUGCCGCGUGAUCGAUGAAGGCCUUAGGGUUGUAAAGAUCUUUCAGGUGGGAAGAUAAUGACUGUACCACCAGAAGAAGCCCCGGCUAACUCCGUGCCAGCCGCCGCCGUAAAAC